rnacentral:rRNA from 1 species
UACGUAGGGUCCGAGCGUUGUCCGGAGUUACUGGGCGUAAAGCGCGCGCAGGCGGCGGUGCUGGCCCGGCGUGAAAGCCCCCGGCUCAACCGGGGAGGGUCGUCGGGGACCGCACCGCUUGAGGGCGGUAGGGGCUGGUGGAAUGCCUGGUGUAGUGGUGAAAUGCGUAGAGAUCAGGCGGAACACCUGGGGCGAAGGCGGCCAGCUGGGCCGUCCCUGACGCUGAGGCACGAAAGCGUGGGGAGCAAACAGG